rnacentral:rRNA from 1 species
UACGUAGGCAGCAAGCGUUGUUCGGAAUUACUGGGCGUAAAGAGUGUGUAGGCGGUGCUCUAAGUUCGGUGUGAAAUCUCCCGGCUUAACUGGGAGGGUGCGCCGGAAACUGGAGUGCUCGAGCGUGGGAGAGGAAAGCGGAAUUCCUGGUGUAGCGGCGAAAUGCGUAGAUAUCAGGAAGAACACCUAUGGCGAAGGCAGCACUCUGGGACGGUACUGACGCUGAGACGCGAAAGCGUGGGGAGCGAACAGG